GAAUCUGAAAUUUUGGUGUAAAUUUAUAGGUUGUUGUUAUGGUUCGUAUUGCAGAUUUGUUUGCUUUUUGUGUUGUGAAAGUCUCACCCAUUUUUUUCCUUUUCUUUUUUCUCCCCUGAUAUCAUUAUUUGCUUGCUUCUCCUAUUUCUUUGCCUCAACUGCAGCAAAGGCAGCGGCAGCAGCACCACCACAACCAGUUGCAGCAACUGCUACAGCACCACCUCUACUAGCUGUGGUGGUCUUGCCGCCCAACACAGCCAACAAGUAUGCAGUGACCACCUUCAUCUCUGCUUGAGAGGGCUCUGGAUCUGCGGAGUGUGGAGAGAAAGGGUAAAUUUGCAGCCAAAUGCGGAAAAAAAAUGUACUUCAAGCUCCAGAUAUUAAAAACAAAAUUCAUGAAAAAACCGAAAAAAAAAACCGAAACCGAACCGAAAAAAAUCAAAACCGAAAAAAACCGAACCGAACCGUUUAAAACCGAACCCAGCUCUAAUAAUAAUUCUGAGAUGUGAUUUGAUAAUUGUUUUAGGCGAUGAUCAUUCGUGACACCUCAAUAUUCAUGCUAAGGAGUUGUAGCGCGAACUCCAGGUGAGUGGGUAUUUUUCUUUUUAUUGUGUGUAUAUAUAUAUAUAUAUAUAUAUAUAUAAUUGAUAGUUUCCACAAUGCUUUUGUUUUGAUUUAUGCAUUUCAUGCCAUGAUUAAAUUAUGUUAUGUUAAAUGUUGCACUGUGGUGAAAUGCCAAAAUGAUCCUACGGGAUAUGCUGGUAAGUUCGGGUAAGCUUAUUAUAUUGUUUACAAUCAUUGAAUCAUUAUGGCAUGCAUAUAGUCAUGUAGUGUUCAUCAUUGCUGCACCCCGGUGUUAGUGCUCCCGGCCCGGGCUAGGGCUAGCCUUCACGUGAUUGUUCACCUUCUGUAUCGAACGCUCGCCUUGGAUCCAAGUUAGGAGCUAGCAUGUCGUACAGGUCGCAUUAGGCGACUCUGACUCAUAGGUGACCGCGCAAAGCGCUAGCUUCACGUGAUCGUAGAACUAAAGCGUAUAUUAUUACACCUAGCCUGUCGUACAAGUCACAUUAGGUGACUCCGACUCGUGUGCUAGCAUAGAUUGAUGAGCCAUAGGUGCAGUGGUACAAGUCAUAUUAGGUGACUCCGACUUGUGUGCUAGUAUCGAUUAUUGAGCAUAUGAUUAUAUUUAUAUUGCUAAUGAGAUACCUUGUUGAGGCAUACUUCUGGAUUUACUGUUAGCAUGCAUUUGAUUUCAUAUGCUCAAUAUUUAGUACAUGAAGUUUUUUUCGUCCCAAAGUCAUACCUGAAGUGUUAAUUUUGGGACAGUCUCAUACAUCUGUUAGUCUGGCUGUUAAGUUUUCCGUUAACUGAUGAUUAGGGUUUCACCAAAGUGAUGGUGGAAGGGGACUCUAAACUCAUCAUUGAUGUUGUGCAAGGUCAAUGGGGAAUUCCUUGGAGAGUCAGCUCUAUAAUCAAUGAUAUUCGUAUCCUAACUCGAUCUUUUAGCCAUGUUGACUGGAAGCACAUUUUCAGGGAGGCAAACUUUGUUGCGGAUGGUUUAGCUCACCUUGGUCUCUCCCUUUUGAAUCCUCAUUAUUGGGAUUUCUAUUUACCUGAUGUUGCUCUUGUUGCCUUUAAUUUUGAUUGUAUUAAAAACGGUUGUACUAGAGGAUUCGUGCUUUAAUGAAUUUCUUUGCAUAAAAAAAAGAAGCAAUAAAUCGCUAAUAUUGAAAAUAAAAGUUUUAAACAGUUGUUUGUGAAAAUUAACUCUAUAGUGGCUAACUUAAACACCCCUGGGCAUUGGCAUAAAUCAAGUCUAGCCAUGGAAGAAAAUGCCGAUAAUAUCGGCGAUAUAUCGCCGAUAUUAUCAGUUUUUCGCCGGACCGAUAUUUUAAUAGGUAUCCAAAGGGUUUUCGUCCAAAUAUCGCAAUAUUAUCAAUAAUAUCGAUAAUAUCGCGAUAUUUCCGAAAUUAUCGCGAUAUUUUGGAAUUGGGCUACUUGGAGAAGAACGUCGGAAAUGGGUGUGCCAAUUCCCGAGCCGAUUUCGUCCCAAAAACCUUGCAAAAACACGAUUAAGAUCAAGAUCUAAGCUACAGAGCGAUUGAAAACACAACCACAAUUCAUAUGCAUGAAUCAAUUGAAGAGGUACGAAGGUGAGGGACCGGGAGUUGACCUGACCACCGACGGCGAUGGCGACGAUGGCGACGACGGCGACGACGAAUGCGCUACCUUCGCCAUAGUCCCCUAGAGCAGUACAAGCUCCCUGUCUGUUCUUUCUGCGGUGGUGAACGAAGGGCAGUGCAGCAGAUCGAACUAAUUUGAGCUUCACACUAACACGGAGAGAGAGAUCCGAGACUUACCUAACCGGAAAAUCAAAGAAGACUCGCCGAAGAGUUAUGGGCUCCGCCAUUCUCGCAGAGGCGGGAGAGAGAAGACUGAUGUGUGAUGAUGGUGGUGUCCUCGAUCUGCUCGAGUCGAGCAGAUGGUGUUGCUGCGUGUGUGUGUGUCGUCACGGCAAGAGAGGGAGAGAGGUAAGAGGGUUUCGAACUUUCGAGAGAGAGAGACAGUGCAGAGAAGAGAGUGAGAGAAGGAAAUGGGGUCUCGGGGUAGGGGAGAGACCCACGUAGUGGGUUGGGUUCUUUGUAUUUUAAAAAGUUGUGGUCAUGUUUUAAUUAUGAAAACCCACGUAGUGGGUUCUUUGUAUUUUAAAAAGUUGUCCAAGUUUGAGAUCCACCCACACUACGUGCGUGUUUUAUAAUUUUAAAAGUUUGAGAUAUAUUUUAUAUAUAUAUAAAGGUUAUAUAAAUUUAAAUUAUGAAUUAUUUAGUUGAAAGGUAGGAGAAAACAAAAGAAGAAAAGGAAAAGGAAAAGAAAAUAAGAAAGAAAAAAAAAAAAAAAAAACACCAAGGGGAUUCAAACCCCUCCCUUUGUCAACCACACACCUAGACCUUAUCCAACUCGCUAUAGAUGUGUUUGUAAUUACAUAUUCAGCCUGUAAUAUUUAUAUGGUUGUUAAGAUGUCUGCAAGGCUUGCAAGCUAAUAUUUAUUAUCUAGGAUAAAUUUCUAUAUUUAAAAAAACACCAAGGGGAUUCGAACCACUCCCAUUUUACUCCUUCAACACCUUGACCACCAUAUCACUUAUGUUUUUGUGAAAAUAUGCUAAAAUACACUUACUCUACACAUAGAGAUGAUGAAGAUAGUGAAAAUUUUGAACCUCACAGGAACUCUAUGUGGUACUAAGUCACUCAUGUAUCUUACCAUGCAAUGUAUAAAGUGUAAAAUAUUGUACUAAUUCAUUAUAUAUAAAUGAUUAUGGUGUGUUUAAACUUCUUUCAUUAAUUACUACAUAUUUUUUACACUCACAAUGUUUGCCAGCUCGCUAUAUAAUCAACUUAAAUUAGUUAAAUCCAUCAUGCAAUGCAUUUCCUUCCAAUUUUUUGUGAUAAACUAAUAGAUAAUUGACUAAAUAAACAUCCUGCAAAGUUUCAUUAAAAAUUUCCAAGUUUUUCUUACAAUUUCCGUGGUUUCCAUGUAAUUUUUAUCGAUAUCGAUAUUAUCCCAAUAUUUCUAUCGAUAUUUCCGUGUUUUCAGACUACCGAUAUAUUUCCAAUAUUACCGAUAUUUUCUUCCUUGAGUCUAGCUACUAAAAUAUGCAUAGCAUUGAAACCACAUUUGGGAAAAAGAGUAAAACAAUAUAUUAAUCUUAAUUAACAUCCAAAACUUCUGAGUCACAAAGAAAUUUACCGCACAUAACAAGAAAGAGAUACGUAUGCCAUACCAUACAUUUAACUACCGGAUAAUGCUAUGUAGACUAAAUUUGUAGACGAAAUGAUAUGUUACUAAUAAAAAAUAAACACAUUACAAAAUUUGAUUUACAAAUUUAAUUUCUCUAGCAUUACCGUUAAUUAUAUAAUACUAAAAUUGUUUUAACCAAUUUACCUCAACAGAAGAAAGAUGACAAGAAACAAAAAAAAAACUAGGAUAACGCUAGAAAAACUAAAAUUUCACACCAAAUUUACAAAUCAAAUUAUGUAUCAUAAAUAAAAAUUAAUUAAGCUACACAACACUUCGAAGAUAACUCAAUCAUCUACACCCACUUCGUUUGGUUUAUAAAAUUUAGUUUAAAUUUUUGUCUUCCUAAUUUUAAUAAGGGUGUGCUUUCCACAUACCAUUUUACUUCCCACACACCUUUUUAUAAUUUUUAUCUGAUAAUCUUCUUCAAUUCAUCUAAUCCGAUGGUCGAAAAUUAAAAAGAUAUGUAAAAAGUAAAAUGAGAUAUAUGAAUAUCACGUCAUUUUUAAUAGGGAACUUUAACGAAAAGCUCCCGAUACUGUUUACUUUAAUGAAAAACCAUAUUUUUACACUAAAAAGUCAAUCCUAGUACUAUUCACUUUACUCUUUAUUUUGUCCUUAUCGUUAAAACUCAAAGUUUUCAAACCCUUUUCAUUAGUUUUCCUUUUUUAAUAUUGUUCCUACUUGCAAAUAUUUCCUCAAUUUUCUUGUUCAAUAAAUAGUAUCACUUGUUACUAAGAGCAGUUCCACCGGAGGGCUUUUUGCCCAGCACCCAGCUGAAAAAAUAGGCUAGCACCCAGUGAAUCCCCUCCAGCCGACGCAAUUGACUGGCGCCCAGCCCAAGCCGGUCUCUAGCCCAGUCCAAAAUUGACUGAGGCGUGGCCCGGUCCAUCUGACGCCAGCGUGGCGUCCGACGCCUGGAACCCCGUCCCGAUGCUUCGAACUCCGUCUCCGGCGAGGAAGACAGCUGGACGACGCUACCUUCGAGGACGAGGCUGCCGACCCGGAACUUCCUGUUGAGGACGAGCUGGUCUUGGAAGCUGUUGAGGACGAUGACAUCAAAUCCGGUGAUGCAGCUGAAGGUCAGGGCGUAGGUCCAGAGGCAGCGGGUUUGGAGCUGGCGAGCCCAGGCGCCGAUGUCGACUAGUUUGGGGCGGGUCAAACCGCAGAGGGCGGUGGAGAGGAAGCAGAGGGUGAAGGGGAGGUGGAGAUUUGAUGGAGGGUAGAGAUGGGGAGGGUGAGAGAGAUGGCUCACGGUGAUGGUGAAGGAGAGAGAGGGAGAGAGCUCACUGCCAAAUUAUUAUUUUUUAUUAUUUUAUAAUAAAAAAAAUAAUAUUUUAAUAAAAUGGACUAGGCUAUUUUUUGUUAGGAGUGGAGAUGCUUUGGCCUAUUACUGUUUAUAUGGGUUUAUUACUGUUCACUAGAGUGGAUAAAUGCGCUGAGUGCUAGCACAAAGUCCUUCGGAGUGGACUUGCUCUAAGGAGCGCGAUAGAAAUUAACAAUAAAAUAAAGCCUAGUUCGCUAUUUUAGCUUAGGAACUCAAAUUACAUCAAGGUCUUUAAUUUUUAGGUUUCAUCAAUAACUAAAACUACCUAUAGAGAGAGAGAGAGAGAGAGAGAGAGAGAGAGAGAGAGAGAGAGAGAGAGAGAAGACAAUUCUGCUAAAUAAUAUGUUGCUGCCAAAAUAUCACAAAAGAAAUUACUAGGCAGCUGCUACGACUAACUAAAGAUGGCAUCAUGAGUUAAUUCCAACUUGAAAAUAUUUGAUAUUUCAAUUGUUUUUCUCAGUAAGGAGUGCGAGAUGGAGGACCCCAAGCCAUGACUUGAUGAUAAUGAUCAGGAGGGCUAGUGUUCAUCUGGCACGUUGGACUCGCAACACCACUGCUCCGGCCACCGCCGCCGCCACCGUAAGUGUGACAACUUU
rnacentral:lncRNA from 1 species